AAACAAAUCUAUGUAGUUUGAAAGUACAGAACUAAAUGAAUAAUAUAGACAAAACAGAAACUCUCUGCAAACCCACACAAUUAUCUGGGGAAUCUCUUCAUACUGUAUUCCUGCCCCAACAGGUAAGGAUCAGCAGGUAAAGUCAGUAUAUCAGAACUCUCAGGUGUGUCUUGUCUGAGUAAUUCGUUUUCAAAACAUUAAAACACGUUUUCCUGGAUACAUAUCACAUUUGUAUUCUGAUGAGCAUUAUAUGAAAAGUGAUGUCUUGCAAUAUGUGGCAUUAGUGCUGGUCUAAGACAUUGUACUGCGUGAAACCAAGAACAAAAUGGUGCCGUGCCCACCCAAGCUCUACCUGAAUUCAAGACCACACAAAGACUUUGUAAACCUAUUAUUGCAACAUAACAGGAAAUAUUAAAAUAAAACCGCUCCAUUUGAAUUUUAGACCUGAUUAUUCACAAUUUUCAUUGAUCUUCAUUUACAGAACAUUGUCCCUCACACACCUAAUAUAAUACCUCAUUGCAUUCCCAGUACUACCCUCCAAAUUCAGCUCCAUUGCAUUAAUCCCUCAAUACAUCACCUAAUGCAGGUUUCCCAAUACCCUGUUUGUCAAUUCAUCCUGCCAGCCAUAACCACCCAAUUCACAGUGUAGGGGUAAUCAUAACUCCCAAGUGUCCCCAUUUUGGACCCAAAUCCC